UACGAAGGGGGCUAGCGUUGCUCGGAAUCACUGGGCGUAAAGCGCACGUAGGCGGAUUGCUAAGUCAGGGGUGAAAUCCUGGAGCUCAACUCCAGAACUGCCUUUGAUACUGGCGAUCUCGAGUUCGGGAGAGGUGAGUGGAACUGCGAGUGUAGAGGUGAAAUUCGUAGAUAUUCGCAAGAACACCAGUGGCGAGGGCGGCUCACUGGCCCGGUACUGACGCUGAGGUGCGAAAGCGUGGGGAGCAAACAGG
rnacentral:rRNA from 1 species